rnacentral:rRNA from 1 species
GAUGAACGCUGGCGGCGUGCUUAACACAUGCAAGUCGAACGGUGAAGGCGGAGCUUGCUCUGCUGGAUCAGUGGCGAACGGGUGAGUAACACGUGAGCAAUCUGCCCCUGACUCUGGGAUAAGCGCCGGAAACGGCGUCUAAUACUGGAUACGAGCUGCGAAGGCAUCUUCAGCAGCUGGAAAGAACUUCGGUCAGGGAUGAGCUCGCGGCCUAUCAGCUUGUUGGUGAGGUAACGGCUCACCAAGGCGUCGACGGGUAGCCGGCCUGAGAGGGUGACCGGCCACACUGGGACUGAGACACGGCCCAGACUCCUACGGGAGGCAGCAGUGGGGAAUAUUGCACAAUGGGCGAAAGCCUGAUGCAGCAACGCCGCGUGAGGGACGACGGCCUUCGGGUUGUAAACCUCUUUUAGCAGGGAAGAAGCGAAAGUGACGGUACCUGCAGAAAAAGCGCCGGCUAACUACGUG